rnacentral:rRNA from 1 species
AUAGGGGAGCCGCAGGGAAACCGAGUCUUAAUUGGGCGUUAAGUUGCAGGGUAUAGACCCGAAACCCGGUGAUCUAGCCAUGGGCAGGUUGAAGGUUGGGUAACACUAACUGGAGGACCGAACCGACUAAUGUUGAAAAAUUAGCGGAUGACCUGUGGCUGGGGGUGAAAGGCCAAUCAAACCGGGAGAUAGCUGGUUCUCCCCGAAAGCUAUUUAGGUAGCGCCUCGUGAAUUCAUCUCCGGGGGUAGAGCACUGUUUCGGCUAGGGGGCCAUCCCGGCUUACCAACCCGAUGCAAACUGCGAAUACCGGAGAAUGUUAUCACGGGAGACACACGGCGGGUGCUAACGUCCGUCGUGAAGAGGGAAACAACCCAGACCGCCAGCUAAGGUCCCAAAGUCAUGGUUAAGUGGGAAACGAUGUGGGAAGGCCCAGACAGCCAGGAUGUUGGCUUAGAAGCAGCCAUCAUUUAAAGAAAGCGUAAUAGCUCACUGGUCGAGUCGGCCUGCGCGGAAGAUGUAACGGGGCUAAACCAUG